GACGAACGCUGGCGGCGUGCUUAACACAUGCAAGUCGAACGGAAAGGCCCUGCUUUUGUGGGGUGCUCGAGUGGCGAACGGGUGAGUAACACGUGAGUAACCUGCCCUUGACUUUGGGAUAACUUCAGGAAACUGGGGCUAAUACCGGAUAGGAGCUCCUGCUGCAUGGUGGGGGUUGGAAAGUUUCGGCGGUUGGGGAUGGACUCGCGGCUUAUCAGCUUGUUGGUGGGGUAGUGGCUUACCAAGGCUUUGACGGGUAGCCGGCCUGAGAGGGUGACCGGCCACCUUGGGACUACGGUACGGACCAGAAUCCAAUCGGAGGCAGCAGUCGGGAAUCUUGCACAAUGGCGCGAAGCCUGAGACAGAAACGCUGCGAGCGUGAUGCCGGCUUUCGAGUUGUGAACAGAUUUCGCAUGAGACGAAGACUGCGUGACGGUAAUGGGUCAAGAAGCCCCGGCUAACUACGUG
rnacentral:rRNA from 1 species